UACAGAGGGGGCAAGCGUUGUUCGGAAUUACUGGGCGUAAAGGGCGCGUAGGCGGCCUUCUAAGUCGAACGUGAAAUCCCCGGGCUCAACCCGGGAACUGCGUCCGAGACUGAAAGGCUUGAAUCCGGGAGAGGGAUGUGGAAUUCCAGGUGUAGCGGUGAAAUGCGUAGAUAUCUGGAGGAACAUCGGUGGCGAAGGCGGCAUCCUGGACCGGUAUUGACGCUGAGGCGCGAAAGCCAGGGGAGCGGAACGGG
rnacentral:rRNA from 1 species